rnacentral:rRNA from 1 species
UACGGAGGGUGCAAGCGUUAUCCGGAUUCACUGGGCUUAAAGGGUGCGUAGGUGGGUUGGUAAGUCAGUGGUGAAAUCCCCGAGCUUAACUUGGGAACUGCCAUUGAUACUAUCAGUCUUGAAUACCGUGGAGGUCAGCGGAAUAUGUCAUGUAGCGGUGAAAUGCUUAGAUAUGACAUAGAACACCAAUUGCGAAGGCAGCUGGCUACUCGGAUAUUGACACUGAGGCGCGAAAGCGUGGGGAUCAAACAGG